CUGGGCCGGGCUGGGCCGGGCUCAGCCUGGCCUCGCCUGAGGCGCGCGCGCGGCACGCACAGCGCGGGCUGCGCGAGCGGCAGCGCCGCCAGCAGCGCCGCUCCCCCUGCUCCGCUGUGAGGGACACACAGCACACAGGCACCACAGGGGCACUGCAAGGAACCUUUCUGGAGGAGGCAGCAGCCAAUAGAACCUUCCGUUCUUCUUUGUUUUUUUUCCUAUUUUCUUUCCUUUUUUUUUGGUCUCCUCUCCCCACUCCGCACCACAGAAAUGCGUUACCUCAGCAAUUAAGGAGACGAGGCAGCACCUGGGGCUCCGGGCCGUGAGGGGAGCAGCGACUUGCACAGCAGCACAGCCCUGCCACAGCCUUCAGCUGAGCUUGCAGGACAUGCAGAGAGGCUCCACUGGCUCCUCCCUGGGGGAAGAAUUCCCAAAUUCAUAAUCAGGAUUUGAGGUUCCAAUUAAAUCCGUGUUUGGGCCAUUGCUUUGCCUGCCAGUACUUCAUCUUCUUGGAAAGCCUCAUCACUUAUCUAAAACAAAAGAAGAACGAGCCAGUGAUCUCAAAACACUGCCAUCUGCAGAUCCCUGCGUUUGAGAGGAUUCUGCACAUGCACAAAUCCCGUCCAGCCCUGUGGAAUUGCUGAACUCCUCCCAGUGAACCCGGGGAGCUCUGCGGGUGUGGGGGGUUUGG